UACGUAGGGGGCAAGCGUUGUCCGGAAUCAUUGGGCGUAAAGCGCGUGUAGGCGGCUUGGUAAGUCUGCUCUGAAAGCCCGGGGCUCAACCCCGGAAUGGCUUUCGAAACUGCUGAGCUAGAGUACAGAAGGGGCAACCGGAAUUCCCAGUGUAGCGGGUGAAAUGCGUAGAUAUUGGGAAGAACACCUGAGGCGAAGGCGGGUUGCUGGGCUGAUACUGACGCCUGAGGC
rnacentral:rRNA from 1 species